AGCGACAGACAUUGAUCAAUCGAUUGAUUGUCUGGGGUUGCCUGGUAGCAAUAGGCCAACUCUCAAUACUCAUUUACAAGUUGCUGCUUGAUAACUACAAGAUCAUGUUCAACUCUGAAGUCUGUAUUGGAUACUUCACCUUCAUCAUGUUCAUCACCAGCCUAAACAGACUUCUUCCCGUUGGAGUAGUGGUUUACAGGUAUGUGUAUGUCCUUCACAGUAGCUGGAUCAUGUCUAGAAGAAACAAACUAAUUCUCAACUUGUUCAUUCUAGGAAGUCUUACCCUUAUACCUGCAG